rnacentral:piRNA from 1 species
UGUAAACAUGUGUUUCACAGUGCAAGUGA